rnacentral:rRNA from 1 species
GACGAACGCUGGCGGCGUGCCUAAUACAUGCAAGUAGAACGCUGAAGGAAGGAGCUUGCUCUUUCUGGAUGAGUUGCGAACGGGUGAGUAACGCGUAGGUAACCUGCCUGGUAGCGGGGGAUAACUAUUGGAAACGAUAGCUAAUACCGCAUAAAAUUGAUUAUUGCAUGAUAGUCAAUUAAAAGGUGCAACUGCACCACUACCAGAUGGACCUGCGUUGUAUUAGCUAGUUGGUGGGGUAACGGCUCACCAAGGCGACGAUACAUAGCCGACCUGAGAGGGUGGUCGGCCACACUGGGACUGAGACACGGCCCAGACUCCUACGGGAGGCAGCAGUAGGGAAUCUUCGGCAAUGGACGGAAGUCUGACCGAGCAACGCCGCGUGAGUGAAGAAGGUUUUCGGAUCGUAAAGCUCUGUUGUAAGAGAAGAACGAGUGUGAGAGUGGAAAGUUCACACUGUGACGGUAUCUUACCAGAAAGGGACGGCUAACUACGUG